rnacentral:rRNA from 1 species
UGGUGCGAUCAUUCCAACGAUAAAACAAUGGAUCCCAUCAUAACUCUACAGUUAAGUACGCUUGGGCUAGAGUAGUACUGGGAUGGGUGAACUCAUGGGAAGUCCUAGUGUUGCACCCU